rnacentral:rRNA from 1 species
UAAGGAAUAUUGGUCAAUGGACGCAAGUCUGAACCAGCCAUGCCGCGUGAAGGAUGAAGGCCCUCUGGGUUGUAAACUCCUUUUAUCUGGGAAGAAAUGCCUGUUUUCUAACGGGUUUGACGGUACCAGAGGAAUAAGCACCGGCUAACUCCGUGCCAGCAGCCGCGGUGAUACGGAGGGUGCAAGCGUUAUCCGGAUUCACUGGGUUUAAAGGGUGCGUAGGUGGGUUGGUAAGUCAGUGGUGAAAUCUCCGUGCUUAACAUGGAAACUGCCAUUGAUACUACUGAUCUUGAAUUUUCAGGAGGUAAGCGGAAUAUGUCAUGUAGCGGUGAAAUGCUUAGAUAUGACAUAGAACACCAAUUGCGAAGGCAGCUUACUACAGGAAUAUUGACACUGAUGCACGAAAGCGUGGGGAUCAAACAGGAUUAGAUACCCUGGUAGUCCACGCCCUAAACGAUGGAUACUCGACAUUUGUGAUACACAAUAAGUGUCUGAGCGAAAGCAUUAAGUAUCCCACCUGGGAAGUACGACCGCAAGGUUGAAACUCAAAGGAAUUGACGG